AGUGAACGCUGGCGGUAUGCCUAACACAUGCAAGUCGAGCGACAACACGGUAAGCGCUUUCUCUUACGGGUGGCGAGGGACGGACGGGUGAGAAAUAGAUCAGAUACUAAUAUGACUUGGGGGAUAUCGGGGAGAAACUUACGCUAAUACCUAAUACAACCAACGGGUUGAAUCAAUAGUGCUUCGGACCUUGCGCGACUGAUUUAGCCGAUGCCGGAUUAGCUAGUUGGCGUGGUAAGGGCACACCAAGGCGACGAUCCGUAGCGGGCCUGAGAGGAUGAUCAGCCACACUGGAACUGAGACACGGUCCAGACUCCUACGGGAGGCAGCAGUGGGGAAUAUUGGACAAUGGGCGCAAGCCUGACCCAGCCAUACCGCGUGGGUGAAGAAGGUCUUCGGGUUGUAAAGCUCUGUUGUUGGGAAAGAAAAGAAGUAUAUGUAUAUCCGGACGUCUUGACGGUACCUAAAGAAUAAGCAACGGCUAACUUCGUG
rnacentral:rRNA from 1 species